AACUUUUGGUCCUCUAUAAUUGUCCCAUUCUCUCGCAGAAUGUUGUGACGAUUCUUGGGACCUUCCUGGUUGAAAGUAUUUCUGCCCUUUAUUGGGUUGGUUAUGUGAUCUGCCUCUUUUACUGUGAGAAAAACAAAGUGCUCAAAGCAGGCUUUACAGCUUGAAUGCGUUAGCAUGGAAUAAUAAGAUAGGACUUUGUUACUAUUUUGUUGACUCUGAGAAACAAAGUAAUGAUUGAUAGGGAUAGUUGGGGGUGCUCGUAUUUAACGGUCAGCGGUGAAAUGCAUGGACCCGUUAAAGACGAACCUAUGCGAAAGCAUU
rnacentral:rRNA from 1 species